rnacentral:lncRNA from 1 species
CCUGAGGAGGGCGACAGUCUCCAUGGCGAUCUGCCAGAAUUCUGUGCGCAAGCUGUCCACGGGCUCCUUUUCCAUCAGCGCCUGCAGAGCACAAGCAGGAUGAGACCUUGGAGCCGCCGGCACCCAGCAGCAGCAGAGCCAGCGCUGCCCCAGCCCUCGCCUCCCAGGGGGCUGGUGCCGGGGGGCCUUGCCCCUUCCCCAACCCGCUGCACAUCCUCUCACCAUGAUGUGCUCCACCAGCCACAAAGACACCAACAGAGCAUUAGGGGGACACCCACGGCCAUCAGGACCAAAGCCUUGAGGGGUCUGGGGCUGUGUGGGACCCCUGGAGGGCAGCUCCAGGAGCACUGCUGCGAUGCAAGUAGCUGCCAUUACCUUUUCUUUCCGUCUGACAUAUGCCCUGAUAGAUUGCACAGCCGAGUUUCUGCGCAGUUUCCAUAUAUUACCUGGAAAGGACGAAAGCAAAGAGUGCUGCAGAGAGGGGCUGAAUGCAGGGGUGAGGAGAGGAAGGGCCCCAGCCCCAGAAGGACGUGGGGAGGCCGCGGGGAUGCCCAGAGGCUGCAGCAGCUCCGCUGGGAAGAGAGGCUGAGGGAGCUGGGCUUGUGGAGCCUGGAGAAGGCUGCGGGGGGAUCUUCAUCAUGGACUGCAGUGACAGGACAAGGGGUGACAGCUUUAACCUCAAAGAGGGCAGGUUUCUUUUGGCCAGGCAGGGAUUUCUCUCCUUCACGCCCAGGGCAGUGA